AGAGUUUGAUCCUGGCUCAGGAUGAACGCUAGCGGUAUGCUUAACACAUGCAAGUCGAACGGUAACGGUUCUUCGGGAGCCGACGAGUGGCGCACGGGUGCGUAACGCGUAUGAAUCUGCCUGGUAGUGGGGGACAACGUGGGGAAACUCACGCUAAUACCCGCAUACGCCCUACGGGGGAAAGCGGGGGAUCUUCGGACCUCGCGCUAUCAGAUGAGCCUGCGUUGGAUUAGCUAGUUGGUAGGGUAACGGCUUACCAAGGCAACGAUCCAUAGCUGGUCUGAGAGGACGAUCAGCCACACUGGUACUGAGACACGGCCCAGACUCCUACGGGAGGCAGCAGUGGGGAAUAUUGGACAAUGGGCGCAAGCCUGAACCAGCCAUGCCGCGUGUGUGAUGACGGCCUAUGGAUUGUAAAGCACUUUCAAUAGGGAAGAAAAAGCGUUGGUUAAUAGCUGAUGCCUUGACAUUACCUAUAGAAGAAGCAUCGGCUAACUCCGUGCCAGCAGCCGCGGUAAUACGGAGGAUGCGAGCGUUAUCCGGAAUUACUGGGCGUAAAGCGUGCGUAGGCGGCUGUUUAAGUCAGAUGUGAAAGCCCCGGGCUUAACCUGGGAACGGCAUUUGAUACUGGGCAGCU
rnacentral:rRNA from 2 species